rnacentral:rRNA from 1 species
CUUCGGGGGCAAGUAGAGUGGCGUCCGGGUGAGUAACACGUGGGUAAUCUGCCUCCGGGUGGGGAAUAACACCUCGAAAGAGGUGCUAAUACCGCAUAAUGCAGCGGCACCUAAUGGUGAUUAGUUGUUAAAGCGGGGGAUCGCAAGACCUCGCGCCU